rnacentral:rRNA from 1 species
UUGAACGCUGGCGGCAGGCCUAACACAUGCAAGUCGAGCGGUAACAUUUCUAGCUUGCUAGAAGAUGACGAGCGGCGGACGGGUGAGUAACGCGUAGAAAUCUACCUAGUAGUGGGGGAUAGCCCAGAGAAAUUUGGAUUAAUACCGCAUACGCCCUACGGGGGAAANCGGGGGAUCUUCGGACCUCGUGCUAUUAGAUGAGUCUGCGUCGGAUUAGCUUGUUGGUGAGGUAAAAGCUCACCAAGGCGACGAUCCGUAGCUGGUCUGAGAGGAUGAUCAGCCACACUGGGACUGAGACACGGCCCAGACUCCUACGGGAGGCAGCAGUGGGGAAUAUUGCACAAUGGGCGCAAGCCUGAUGCAGCCAUGCCGCGUGUGUGAAGAAGGCCUUAGGGUUGUAAAGCACUUUCAGCAGGGAGGAAGGCUUACCCCUAAUACGGGUGAGUACUUGACGUUACCUGCAGAAGAAGCACCGGCUAGUUUCGUG